GCAGGUUAAUUAAGGGUAUAUGGCGGAUGCCUUGACACUAGAAGGCGACGAAGGACGUGGCGUAACUGCGAUAAGUCUCGGGGAGGUGUGUAGCAACCUGUGAUCCGGGAAUUUCCGAAUGAGGAAACUCAAUUGCGUCUAAACGCAAUUGCUCCGACCUUGUGUCGGAGCGCGAACUCGGCGAAGUGAAACAUCUCAGUAGCCGGAGGAAUAGAGAACAAAAGUAAUUCCCCAAGUAGUGGCGAGCGAAAAGGGAAAAGCCCAAACCUACCGAUGCUCUGCAUCGGAAAUUCCAAGAAACAAGAAACAACAACCAAAUAAUUUGGAAUUUGUAUCUUGGUGAUUGGUGCUUCCGCUGCAUAGCAGCGGUGGGGGUAGUAAGAUAAUAACAUUAGAGAAAUCUUAAAGAGUGAUAAAAAAUUAAGACUUCCUUAAUUGAAAGAACUGGAAAGUUCUACCAUAGAAGGUAAUAGUCCUGUAGAUGAAAAGGGUCUUAUACUCUUGGUUGUUAAUCUUGAGUAUUGCGAGAACAUGUAAUCUCGCAAGAAACAUCCUGAACUAUCUAGGAAAGGCUAAAUACUUCUAGUGAUCGAUAGUGAACUAGUACCGUGAGGGAAAGGUGAAAAGUAGCCCGGUGAGGGCGGUGAAAUAGUACCUGAAACCAUAUACUUACAAAGAGUCGGAGUCCCGAUUUAUCGGGAUGACGGCGUGCUUUUUGCAGAACGAACCAACGAGUUUAUGUAUGUUGUUGUUUAAGUCCGAAUAGGAUGGAGGCAUAGGGAAACCGAGUGUUAAAAGCGCGAAUUAUAACAAUAUGCAUAAGACCCGAAGCCAGGUGAGCUACCCAUGGACAGGAUGAACCCCGAUGAAAAUCGGGGGAAGGUCCGAAUCCACCAGCCGUGCAAUACUGGGGAAUGAGCUGUGGGUUGGAGUGAAAAGCUAAUCGAACCUGGUAAUAGCUGGUUCUCCUCGAAAUAUGUUUAGGCAUAGCCUCUUGUUUUUCUCCUUAGGGGUAGAGCACUAAAUUGGUUGAGGUGGCGUAAGCCUACUCACUAAAUUAAACUCCGAAUACUAAGGCAGACAGCAAGGGAGUAAGACCGUGGGGGCUAAGCUCCAUGGUCAAAAGGGAAAUAGCCCAGACCGCCAUCUAAGGUCCCAAAAUUAAAUUAAGUGGUAAAAGAAGUGUUUUGUCUUUGACAGAUGGGAUGUUGGCUCAGAAGUAGCCAUCAUUUAAAGAGUGUGUAACAACUCACCAUUCUAUCCCUUUAUUGGGUAUGAUGAGACGCGCUGAAAAUGUAACGGGGCUCAAAUUUAAUACCGAAGAUGCGGAUCUCCGACCUUGCGUCGGAGGUGGUAGAGGAGCAUUUUUCCAACAGUGAAGGUUCGACGUGAGUCGGGCUGGAGUUGGAAGAAGAGAGAAUGUUGGUAUGAGUAACCACAAGUCCGAUGAGAAAUCGGACCACCGAAAGCCUCAGGUUUCCUUGGCAAUGUAAAUCAGCCAAGGGUUAGGCGGAUCUAAGACAAACCCGAAAGGGGUAGUUGAUGUUCAGUCGGUUAAUAUUCCGACCCUUCUAUAUUUUUUCUACGGAGUGACAGGAUUUAGUAGUUGAAGCAGAUUAUUGGAUUUCUGUUUGUAUGUUAAGAAGCCAAGUUAGGCAAAUCCGGCUUGGAUUACUUCAAGACACUCAAGAAGUUUCGGUUUCGAUCGGAACGACUUUAAUGAGCAAGUCCUCGAGAAAAACUUCUAUGUUCGCCAAUCGGCGAAAGAAAUAUAGAAUCCGUACCGUAAACUGACACAGGUGGGCGAGGCGAGAAGCCUAAGGUGAACGGGUUAACCUUCGUUAAGGAACUCGGCAAAACAACGGCCGUAAGUUCGCAAUAAGGCCUUCCCCGAUUUAUCGGGGACGCAGCUAAAGAUUCCUAGCGACUGUUUACUAAAAACACAGGUCCCUGCUAACUCGUAAGAGGAUGUAUAGGGGCUGACACUUGACCAGUGCUGGAAGGUUAAUAGUGCCGGUUGUGGCCGCAAGGUUACAGCUGAGUGCUUGAAGCCCCAGUGAACGUCGGCGAUAACUAUAAUCGUCCUAAGGUACCGAAAUUCCUUGACAUGUAAGUUAUGUCCUGCAGGAAAAGUGUAACGACUGGGAAACUGUCUCAACGAAGAGCCCGGUGAAAAUGCAAUGUCAGUGAAGAUGCUGACUACCCGCGACAAGACGAAAAGACCCCAGGAGCUUUACUAUAUCUUGGUAUUGUUUUAACGAUUUUGAUGCGUAGCGUAGAUGGUAGGAUUUGAAGUCUCGAUUUUGGUUGGGAUGGAUCCGUCAAUGAAACACCAUUCUUUAAAAUUGUUAAAACUAACCCCUCUUAAUAGAGAGGGACAGUGCCAGGUGGGUAGUUUUGGUGGGGCGCUAGCCUCCUAAAAGGUAACGGAGGCGUUUAAAGGUUGACUAGCUCCGGAUGGAAAUCGGAGUGAUAGUGUAAGAGCAUAAGUCAGCUUUACUGCGAGACUGACAGGUCAAGCAGUUGCGAAAGCAGAAUCUAGUGAACCGCUGGAUCUUUAUAGAAAGACCAAAGAUCAUCGGAUAAAAGCUACCCUGGGGAUAACAGGCUGGUAGGCGCUGAGAGUCCAUAUCGACGCGUCUGUUCGGCACCUCGAUGUCGGCUCAUCUCAUCCUGGGGCUGGAGAAGGUCCCAAGGGUUUGGCUGUUCGCCAAUUAAAGAGGUACGUGAGCUGGGUUUAAACCGUCAACUAAAUUUGUUACUGUUAGCAAAUUUGGCGGCUUCUGAUAGUAAUAUCGGAAUGUGAAAUCGACUCAUAUCGGUGAAGUCCUAUUAUAUAUUGACACUCAACCUGUCAUAUGAUAGGAUAAUACCGAGGGAAGCUGUAAAUUUUCUUUAUGAGUAAAAACACUAAAAAUUGGUCUUAUUUGGCAGGGUUUUUAGAUGGAGACGGAAGUAUCUAUGUAAGAAUUAAACCAAAUAAAUCUUAUCGUUUUGGAUUUCAAAUU
rnacentral:rRNA from 1 species